rfam:Picea glauca, whole genome shotgun sequence.
AAAAAUAAGAGUUUGAUCCUGGCUCAAAACGAACGCUAGUUAUAUGAUUAACAAAUGCAAGUCGAACGUAGCUUGCUUCCCCAUACAUCCAUGUGGGGGCAGAAGGGCAAGAGGAAUGACCCCCUCCUAGCACGUGCUCACUCACUCAAAUGAUAUGCAAGUGGUGUGUAGGGCAUGGGGAACAACAAGCAAAGUGGCGAACGAGUGCGUAAUGCAUGGGAAUCUACCAAACAGUUCACUCCAAAUCCUAAAUAAUUCAUAAAGCAAGCUAAUUUGAAUUUUUUGAUGAGCCCACGUAGUAUCAAGUAGUUUGUUAGGUAAAGGAUGACCAAUCCAAUGAUGUUUAGUUGGUCUUUUUGGAUGAUCAACCACAUUGGGACUAAGACAUGACCUAGACUCCCUUGGGGGGAAGCAGUGGGGUAUAUUGGACAAUGGGCUCAUGCCCGAUCCAACAAUAUCGCAUGGGUGAAUAAGGGCAUUGUUGCUUGUCAAGAUAUUUCAUUGAGUUUCGAUCAUGACAGGACUCGAGGAAUAAGCCUCGGCUAACUCUGUGCCAACAACCAUGAUAAUAUAGGGGGGUAGGUGUUAUUCAAAGUGACUGGGCGUAAAGUGCACGUAGGCGGUGAAAAGGGUGGAAAGUGAAACUCACCAAAGCACUAGCGGGGUACUUUCUUUACCAUUUCACUUGAGUGAGAUAGGGGAGACUGGAAUUUCAUGUGGAGGGAUCAAAUCCUAAGAUAUACGAAGGAACACUAACCGUGAAGGCAGCUCUUUGGGUCCCCACUGACGCUGGGGUGCAAAAGCAUAGGGAGAAAACAUGAUCAGAUAACCUGGUAGUCUAUGCCUCAAGUGUUGAGUGUUCGUCCUUGGUAUACUUACCUACCAGGUAGGAUUAGGAUCAGGGGCUUAGCUAAUGCAUGAAACACUUCACCUGGGGAGUACGGUCGCAAGACUAAAACUUAAAGGAAUUGAUGGGGGCCUGCACAAGUGGUGGAGCAUGUUGUUUAAUUUGAUACAACGUCCAGAACCUUACCAGCCCUUGACAUAUGAACAAGUCUGCAUGUCCCUAAUGGGAUGGUGUGAAAAUUCAUACAUGUGUUGCAUGGCUAUCAUCAUCUCGUGUCGUGAGAUGUUUGGUUAAGUCCUAUAAUGAGAAAAACCCUCA